rnacentral:rRNA from 1 species
AUUGAACGCUAGCGGGAUGCCUUACACAUGCAAGUCGAACGGAGUGGCGAACGGGUGCGUAAUGUAUCGGAACGUGCCCAGUAGCGGGGGAUAACUACGCGAAAGCGUAGCUAAUACCGCAUACUAUUGGACCGGCCGAUAUGGGAUUAGCAAGUUGGUGGGGGAAUGGCUCACCAAGGCGACGAUCCGUAGCUGGUUUGAGAGGACGACCAGCCACACGGGGACUGGGACACGGCCCAGACUCCGACGGGAGGCAGCAGUGGGGAAUUUUGGAAAAGGGGGGAAACCCUGAUCCAGCCAUCCCGCGUGUGGGAUGAAGGCCUUCGGGUUGUAAAGCACUUUUGGCAGGAAAGCGGUACCUGCAGAAUAAGCACCGGCUAACUCCGUGCCAGCAGCCGCGGUAAUUC